rnacentral:rRNA from 1 species
UACAGAGGUCUCAAGCGUUGUUCGGAUUCAUUGGGCGUAAAGGGUGCGUAGGCGGCGCGGUAAGUCGGGUGUGAAAUCUCGGAGCUUAACUCCGAAACUGCAUUCGAUACUGCCGUGCUUGAGGACUGGAGAGGAGACUGGAAUUUACGGUGUAGCAGUGAAAUGCGUAGAUAUCGUAAGGAAGACCAGUGGCGAAGGCGAGUUCCUGGACAGUUGCUGACGCUGAGGCACGAAGGCCAGGGGAGCAAACGGG